GAUGAACGCUGGCGGCGUGCCUAAUACAUGCAAGUCGAGCGAACAGUCCAGGAGCUUUCUCCCCUGACGUUAUCGGCGGACGGGUGAGUCCACGUGGAUAACCUACCUAUAAGACUGGGGUAACUUCGGGAGACCGGAGCUAAUACCGGAAAAUAUAUUGAACCGCAUGGUUCCAUAGUGAAGGACGGUUUUGCUGUCACUUAUAGAUGGAUCCGCGCCGCAUUAGCUAGCUGGUACGGUAACGGCUUACGAAGGCAACGAGGCGUAGCCGCUCUGAGAGGGUGAUCGCACAGACUGUCACUGAGACAGGUCAGACACUCCUACGCGAGGCAGCAGCAGAGAAUCCUACGCGAUGGGGGAGAGCGUGAUAUAGCAACGUGGGGUGAGUGAUGAACGAGCUAUGACGGGAAAACGAUGUUAGCAGUGAAGAUCAAAAGUGCAAGUAACUAGGAAGGUCUUGACGGUACCUAAACAGAAAGCCACGGCUAACUCCGUG
rnacentral:rRNA from 1 species